AUUGAUCGCUGGCGGCAUGCCUUACACAUGCAAGUCGAACGGUAACGGGCCUUCGGGUGCCGACGAGUGGCGAACGGGUGAGUAAUACAUCGGAACGUGCCCGAUCGUGGGGGAUAACGAGGCGAAAGCUUUGCUAAUACCGCAUACGAUCUACGGAUGAAAGCAGGGGACCGCAAGGCCUUGCGCGGACGGAGCGGCCGAUGGCAGAUUAGGUAGUUGGUGGGAUAAAAGCUUACCAAGCCGACGAUCUGUAGCUGGUCUGAGAGGAUGAUCAGCCACACUGGGACUGAGACACGGCCCAGACUCCUACGGGAGGCAGCAGUGGGGAAUUUUGGACAAUGGGCGCAAGCCUGAUCCAGCCAUGCCGCGUGCAGGAUGAAGGCCUUCGGGUUGUAAACUGCUUUUGUACGGAACGAAAAGCCUUCUUUUAAUACAGGAGGGUCAUGACGGUACCGUAAGAAUAAGCACCGGCUAACUACGUG
rnacentral:rRNA from 1 species